rnacentral:snoRNA from 1 species
CAUGGAAGCUGCAGAACCAACCAUGCAGACAGAUGAGAAAACAUCUUUUGUCUACACAGGCACAAUCCUGUGUAAACAUGAAAACCUUUGUCUGACUUAGGACAGCUGGCUAAGUCUGGUCAUUCCCCUCCCUGUAAC